GCUGGGAUUACAGGCGUGAGCCACCGCGCCCGGCGGUAAAAGUGGUUUUUUUAAACGUGGGACGUUGAGAAUAUGGAUCAUUCACCUCAAGUCCUAAAAGAAAGUGGUUCCCACAUCUGCACACAGACAUGAGAAUUGCCUUCAGGACACGAGAUCUAGUCCCAUGAUCCUGGAAGCCUGUGCCCCGUCAGGACACGGUCACAGUGAACGCUCAUGGAAAAAAGAUGAAUGACAUUACUGGUUGUUUCCUGAGCCAUAAAGUGGUAGAAUUCUUCUGCCUCUAGAAGCCUAGACAAGAGACUCCUGCUUUGAGGCAAUUUCAAAGAACACCCAGACUGUUCUCUAGAGUGGCUGCGCACUGUUCCAAUCCCACCCGCAGUGCACGAAGGUUCCAAUUCCUCUGCGUCCUCUCAGCACCUGCUAUGGUCUGUCUUUUUGAUUCCUGUUAUCCUGGUGGGUGUGAAGUUGCGUCUUGUCUCUCGGCUGAGAUUCUAUUCCAUUAUGGGGGGGACGAUGGCGCUCUUUUGUAAUAAACUCAUCAACCAGAA